GACGAACGCUGGCGGCGUGCUUAACACAUGCAAGUCGAGCGGUAAGGCCCUUUCGGGGGUACGACGAGCGGCGAACGGGUGAGUAACACGUGGGUGACCUGCCCUCAGCUCUGGGAGUAAGCCCGGGAAACUGGGUCUAAUACCGGGAUAUGACUCCAUGACGCAUGUUGUGGGGUGGGAAAGCCUUGUGCGGCUGAGGAUGGCCCGCGGCCUAUCAGCUUGUUGGUGGGGUGAUGGCCACCAAGGCGACGACGGGUAGCCGGCCUGAGAGGGCGACCGGCCACACUGGGACUGAGACACGGCCCAGACUCCUACGGGAGGCAGCAGUAGGGAAUCUUGCGCAAUGGGCGAAAGCCUGACGCAGCCAUGCCGCGUGAAUGAUGAAGGUC
rnacentral:rRNA from 1 species